rnacentral:rRNA from 1 species
UAGGGAAUCUUCGGCAAUGGACGAAAGUCUGACCGAGCAACGCCGCGUGAGUGAAGAAGGUUUUCGGAUCGUAAAACUCUGUUGUUAGAGAAGAACAAGGACGUUAGUAACUGAACGUCCCCUGACGGUAUCUAACCAGAAAGCCACGGCUAACUACGUGCCAGCAGCCGCGGUAAUACGUAGGUGGCAAGCGUUGUCCGGAUUUAUUGGGCGUAAAGCGAGCGCAGGCGGUUUCUUAAGUCUGAUGUGAAAGCCCCCGGCUCAACCGGGGAGGGUCAGUGGAAACUGGGAGACUUGAGUGCAGAAGAGGGGAGUGGAAUUCCAUGGGUAGCGGUGAAAUGCGUAGAUAUAUGGAGGAACACCAGUGGCGAAGGCGGGUGUCUGAUCUGAAACUGACGAUGAGGCUCGAAAGCGUGGGGAGCAAACAGG